CCUUCGAUAGCUCAGUUGGUAGAGCGGUGGACUGUAGAUAAAUAUGAUUUCAAAAUAGUGAUCCAUAGGUCGCUGGUUCAAAUCCGGCUCGAAGGA
rnacentral:tRNA from 2 species